rnacentral:rRNA from 1 species
GAUGAACGCUCGCGGCAGGCCUAAUACAUGCAAGUCGGACGGGAUUCAGGAGCUUGCUUCUGAUGAGAGUGGCGCACGGGUGCGUAACACGUAUGUAACCUACCUUUAUCAGGGGGAUAGCCUCUCGAAAGAGAGAUUAAGCCCGCAUAAAAUCACAGCACAGCAUUGUGUAAUGAUCAAAUAUUUAUAGGAUAAAGAUGGGCAUGCGGAACAUUAGCUAGAUGGCGGGGUAACGGCCCACCAUGGCGACGAUGUUUAGGGGAUCUGAGAGGAUGGCCCCCCACACUGGUACUGAGACACGGACCAGACUCCUACGGGAGGCAGCAGUAAGGAAUAUUGGUCAAUGGGCGGAAGCCUGAACCAGCCAUGCCGCGUGCAGGAAGACGGCCCUACGGGUUGUAAACUGCUUUUAUACGGGAAAAAACCCAGAUACGUGUAUCUGGCUGAAUGUACUGUAAGAAUAAGGAUCGGCUAACUCCGUG